AGGCCAACCUACCGGCGACUAGGAUGCUUUCGCUUUCGCUCUGGCUUUCCAUUACUCGGGACUGGGGAAACCGGGAGAAUAGAAGCAGGCAAGGACCGCCGUGGGCACGGGGUGUCCCCAGCGCAGCCAAUCGGCUUCCGAAGAAGGUGAGUUGCUGCCUGAAAAGAAAAGACAAACACCAGUAUCUUUCAUUCCGUUGGCCAGGCGCGCCAUUCCCCAAGUGAGUUCUGUUCUCCAACCAAAGUGCUGGAUUCCAAGGGACUGGAAGGGAAAGUCCCUAAAAAUUACGAGUUCAGGCGUCUGAGACUUGGUGGGAACGGACCUUCCUCUUAGGUGAGUUACUCUUUGGUUCUGGGGCUGACCUGGAGUUUUGCCAGGAUUCAUUGGCCGCGGCGGGAUGCUGGUGGGGAGAAGGUAGAUAAAAUCCGCACUCCUGCGGGCUUUUAUUCUGAAAGGGGCACUGACGCUCUCCCUGGAAACGUAAAAAGAACAGAACCAAAUGAACGGAUGUG
rnacentral:sRNA from 1 species